GUGGGGAAUAUUGCGCAAUGGGGGAAACCCUGACGCAGCGACGCCGUGUGAGGGAAGAAGGCUUUCGGGUCGUAAACCUCUGUCAGAAAGGAAGAACCUCCCAAGUCCGAAUAGGGCUUGGGACUGACGGUACUUUCAAAGGAAGCACCGGCUAACUCCGUGCCAGCAGCCGCGGUAAUACGGAGGGUGCAAGCGUUAAUCGGAAUCACUGGGCGUAAUGCGUGCGUAGGCCGCUUUGUAAGUCGGACGUGAAAGCCCUCGGCUCAACCGGGGAACUGCGGUCGAUACUGCGAGGCUUGAGUCCUGGAGAGGGUGGCGGAAUUCCGGGUGUAGGAGUGAAAUCCGUAGAUAUCCGGAGGAACACCGGUGGCGAAGGCGGCCACCUGGACAGGUACUGACGCUGAGGCGCGAAAGCGUGGGGAGCAAACAGGAUUAGAAACCCCUGUAGUCC
rnacentral:rRNA from 1 species